rnacentral:rRNA from 1 species
CUAGCGACUUCAGAGUUUGAUCCUGGCUCAGGACGAACGCUGGCGGCGCGCCUAACACAUGCAAGUCGAACGGAGCUUGAUGGAAUGAUUCUUCGGAUGAAUGAAGUUAAGCUUAGUGGCGAACGGGUGAGUAACGCGUGAGCAAUCUGCCUUAAAGAGGGGGACAACAGUUGGAAACGACUGCUAAUACCGCAUAAGCCCACACUACCGCAUGGUAGAGUGAGAAAAGAUUUUAUCGCUUUAAGAUGAGCUCGCGUCUGAUUAGCUAGUUGGUGGGGUAACGGCCUACCAAGGCAACGAUCAGUAGCCGGACUGAGAGGUUGAUCGGCCACAUUGGGACUGAGACACGGCCCAG